AUUGAACGCUGGCGGCAGGCCUAACACAUGCAAGUCGAACGGUAACAGGAAGCAGCUUGCUGCUUUGCUGACGAGUGGCGGACGGGUGAGUAAUGUCUGGGAAACUGCCUGAUGGAGGGGGAUAACUACUGGAAACGGUAGCUAAUACCGCAUAACGUCGCAAGACCAAAGAGGGGGACCUUAUGGCCUCUUGCCAUCGGAUGUGCCCAGAUGGGAUUAGCUAGUAGGUGGGGUAACGGCUCACCUAGGCGACGAUCCCUAGCUGGUCUGAGAGGAUGACCAGCCACACUGGAACUGAGACACGGUCCAGACUCCUACGGGAGGCAGCAGUGGGGAAUAUUGCACAAUGGGCGCAAGCCUGAUGCAGCCAUGCCGCGUGUAUGAAGAAGGCCUUCGGGUUGUAAAGUACUUUCAGCGGGGAGGAAGGGAGUAAAGUUAAUACCUUUGCUCAUUGACGUUACCCGCAGAAGAAGCACCGGCUAAGUCCGUG
rnacentral:rRNA from 1 species